AAAUUUGAUAACUUGUGUUGUAUUUGAGUGUUUAUCUAUUGCACUACUAACUCCAAAUCCAUCCGAAUUGAAACAGUUACAUAUAUUGGCUCCAAGGAUGCGGUGAGAGAUAUACUUACUCCUAAUAGACCUCAAGUUAUACAGAUUACUCGUGUGAGUAAUUAUUCUGUGAAUAUAUUUCAAAGAAAAUGACAAUCUCUACUCCUAAUGGAGCAGUUGGUAGUCUCCGUCGGUUAAAUUUCGUCCCACCUCCUCUGGUUUAUUUUCGUCCUGAAAAAACCUAUGAAAAAAAACCUACGAAAAAAACCAGGACUCGCACGCACGAGCGAGACUGCCCUCGAGGGGAGGCCUCCAGAUCCCUCCUCCCAUUGCCUGCCCUCCUCGCGAUCCUCCCGACGUCCUCGCGCCGCCGUCCUCGCGCCGCCGUCCUCUUCUUCUCUGCGACUCCUCUGUGCCCCACGCCCUGACCGACGUCGGCGAGUCCUCGGCACUCCGCGUGCGCCUCGCAUCCAACGCCAGGGAGGAUCGAAUGACUCCGCCCGCGUCGUCGCCUCCGACGCCGGCCUCUCCUUCACCACCGCCCCUGCCGGCAGGGUCCCCCAAGUCACGGCCUUCCUCGCCUGGGUGUACGUCGCCAACCGGCCAUAUGGCAGGACGCGCAGACCCGGGCGAUCCUCUCCGGCCUCCUUGAGAAGAGCACCGACAAUCUCCCCAAAGAGAUCUCAGUGGACCACAAGCUGAGGGACCUCGGAUGCACGUAAUUUUUUGGUUCUCCACUGAAGUAUUGAAGGCAUUAUGACAACAUGUGUACCAACUUGUUGAUUAAAAAUGAUUGCAUUUCAAAAUUUCAAUGAACUUCUCACUGGACAUUUUGACGCAUUGGCUUGAAUCUGCAUGUUGCAUCAUUUGUGCACAGUGAAAACUGUAUGAACCUGCAUUGGAUGGUGUAUUUGUAGGAAGGUUAUCCUUUCUUCAAGGACUGGAAGUUUCCUGGUAAGUGUUCCUUUUCUGAAAAACUCUGUGUUUGUCCACUGUAAUAUUUUGUUUACAUCAGGUUUCUCUUUCCUUUUGUGGGCGUAAUGUCGAGACAAUAAUAUUCAGAAAGUUGUUGUUUUAGGGAAACUGCUAACUCCAUAUGCUAGACCCAUAUCAUUGUUCAGCAUGCAUAGUGUUCCUAUGUCAUUUCUAUGAUGUAUUUGUUUCCUUUUAUAACACAAUAGUCUUCAUUUUGGCCAUGUACCUUCAAACUGAACCAAAAAUGGUUUGUCUGAUGACAUGUUUGAGGAGAUUCUUGAUAUGAAACAGUAGAUAUGAGGGUGACCGUUUUUUUGCAAGUUUUGCCUGUGGAAUCUUUCUGCAGUUGAUAAGAAAUGGGCUGGACUUACUUCCGUCUGCAAUAUUUUUGGUAAAGUGAUUCAAGGUAUGUUCGAUUGCUUACUUAGGAUGGUUACUGAAGCUCUUUGGGAACCAAGAAAGACAUUCUGUAUGUACAAAUAACAUAGGCCUAAAGUUCGUUUUACAUUGAAAAUCUAUAUAUGAAAUUUUCUGUAACAAUCGAAAAUUCAUUCAUUCACUUUGUGAGAUGUCACACAACACCAUGCUCCAAAUUGUUGUCUAUUUGAUCCUUGUGGCAGAAUCAUAGUCUCGUGCAUAAUUGCAUAUAUACUGUGACUGGGCACCAGUACACUUGCAACAUUCUAAAAGGUAGUUUGUUAUGAUUUUUUUACCAAAACUUUUCUUCUACAGUUUAUAUGCAUGCAGAGGAUCUUCAACUGGUUUCAUCAUUUAUCUAGGCUAUGCAAGGUUGCAUAAUCAUGGAUGGUCAUUGUUAGAUUGGCCUGAUUCUAGAUUUGGGGCACGGAAUGAUGGUCAUGGGAAUACCCAAAGGUGGGCCGAGGCUGGGCUAUGGGAUUUGUUUUCCAAACAAUUCCAAAAGGGCUAAAGUCUCAUUCAAAAGUUUGGGCUUUCCGCUGGAAGCAUUCAAUGAUUUUACUAAAAAAAAACUUAAUGCCGCUAGACACGACCGUUGGCUGUAGAUUUUUAAUUUUUUUUAGUAAUGUUGCUGCUGAAACCUUGAUUUUUUUUUGUAGUUUCAUCGUGGGACAACUGGAUUUUAGAUGAACUCGGACACAUCUCUGUUCCUAGAAUGUUGCCAUCUUGCUAUAUGCAAAAUAAACUAUUGUAAUUUAUAAUAUUGAAAUUUGUGCAGUGGUUGUUCACGACCAAAUUUUGAUUAAAUGAUUUCUAUCUUCUAUCUCUCCUUUGCACAAUAAUGAAGAUGAUUUUGUCCAAUUAUUUUUGUUCAUUCAUCCUGGCUUAUUCUUCUUAUUGUCAUAUGAAGUUUAGAAUAUCAGAGUUCUACAUUUGCUGCCAACAUUUUACAAUUUAGCUUCAGUUAUUUAUUGGUGUGCAUUUUUUCCUGGAGAAAUUUGAAACCCGGUUUCUUCAGUUUUAGAUAUUUCUUCAGUUUCCACCCGUGCUCCACAUGAAGUACCAAUUUUCAGCGGGUAAAUUUUCGGUUAGCGAAACUUUUAGAUAAAACCUGGGAGUAAUGGCUUAUCAUGCUAGAAGUUUCAAGCCCGUCUCACAAUGUUUUUUCGUCAGUGUGUUUGGAAAAAUCUUGGAAUUAAUAGCUUAUCACACACUAGAAAUCUGGUUGUAACUAGCUCAAACACAAAGCCGUGUUAUAAAGCUUGUCGUAAGGAAAACCUGACAUGUAAUGGUUCCAAGAAGGCGAUACAUGAUUUAUUGUUGUGUUUCUGAAUGCUGGGUAUGCAGAAUGUGAGACUUCAAGACAUACAGAUAGUUAUGUACUUCCAAGAGCACCAGUAUGUGUUUGAAUCAAUAGAUCAAAGUUUCUUUACAUGCUGGCACUUCUACUUCCGAUGUUUCUGCAGGAUAUUGAUUUGUUGGUGAUGACUCUGAAUGUGAGGGUGCUAAGAAGUACAUGAUGGAUUGUGAAGUUCCCUCCAUUACAUGAAGAAGAAUGACAGUAAAGACUUACGUAUGGUACCUCCCUGUAUUCUAUUGUCUUCAUCUCAUGUAUCUUUCUUUUUAUAUAUAGAAAUUCCAUUGUUAACAAAGGGAUUUGACACCCCUAGGGCAGAGGCUACUUACCGAUUAUCACCUUGCAUAGGAUGGAAGAUGCACACUUGGAGAAGGUCCCGCCAGUCGAUCGCCUUUGUACAUACCUAGCUCUCCAGUUUUUACUUUUGCUUAUUUUAUAGUGUUAAAAUUGCUUAACUCAUUGCUUCUGAAAAUAUUAGUGAAAUCGAGUUGUUGGUGGCCACCUCUUAACCAGAGGAAAAGGUCACCUUCAGCAAGUUGAAGCCAAACGUCUUGCUCUGCUUUUCAAGUAGCAGCUUACAGCUUACGUUCAUGCGGCCAUGUUGCCUCCUCUCAAUUAUCUGCACUCUGCAGACAGGCUAUCCACCGUAAAUUCACGAUUUUAGUUUACCUUCAUAUCUGCUUAUUUAAAGUACAAAAGGUUUGUGUCUUGAUGUGUUGAUAAAUGCGAAAAUAGUUCAUGAUAUAGACUUUGAAAAUUUGUGUCUUUGUAAUAUCGUAACUCGAUUGCAGUUCUUGAUGGUUGUCUAAUUUUCUUGUAUCUUUUGAAGAAUGUUAACCUAAGAAAAUUAGACAAAUCAGUUGUACAUAACUUUGCAAAUUUAGUAUGUCGGCCGCGUUUCUAACUUUAUAAUAGCAGAGAUCAUAAGCCAUGUGAAAAGUCGUUUUAAUAGGAGGCCGAGUCACAUGCAAGUGCAUGUAGAAGUUCACUCUUAUUUUUAUUAGAGAUAAUUUGCACAGUGCUUACCAUAAUUGUGUUAGUUGCACACUCACUGUGGCCUUGUUAAAAUGAUUGUCUGCAUGACAACUUCCAUGCUAUAAAGCACUAAGACACACUUGAAGUAAUAUCUCAAGAAGAAGAAAGGUUAUAUUGUGGAAAGGGUGUUUAAAAUGUUGGUUUGUUGGACAAAUGGGCGGCAGAAUAUACAUCAUGGACCUACUUAGCAAAGUGAGCAAAUGUUGUUUUGUGAGUACGGAAUAAUGUCUCCAUGAGGUGAAUUUGAUCGUGAUUUACAUACUUUCUAUACUCUAUAAGGUUCAUGUAGGGAAAUAUUAAUGUAAGAGUGAUAGCUCAAGGUUGAACGAGUACAACAUUAAUGUAGUGUUGAAGCAACAUGCCUUCAAAGCAUCUAUCUUGGUCGCUACAAUUUUUUGCUGAUUGAUUCUAAAUUGGUAAGGUGGUUCAUAGUGUUAGACUGUCAGACACAAGCUAUGAUCAUUCAACUGCUCCAUUAUGCAAAAAACAAUGUAGUUAGAAAUAGUAGAGUGCUAAAUAUUUACAUUAUAAGGCUGAAUCAUCUCAUUUGCUAACUGAACCAGAUUUAUUGAGCAUCUGUUCGAUGGAAGCUCAUUUACCAUAAUGCUAAAUAUGUUUUUGAAGCAUUGCGGAGGGCUGGUGUAAGAACAAUUGUAUUGUCCAACUUAAGAACCCAUCUCCGGACACUUUUAGAGGCCCUGAAAUGAGAUCACUUGUUUAAUGUAGUCGUUGUAUCUGCUGAGGUGGCUACAGAUUUAUAGAGGAGUAGCCUAAACUAAGCAUGUUAGGUGAACCUUCACCAUGUAUCUAAUGUCCUUUGUAUGCAGGUUCUACCUUCGGUUUUCUAUUAAUAUUCACCAUAAAUUCAGUUCUCUGCUUUCUCUGCUAGCAGAUUGCAGCAAAAAACUCAAAUCCAACAAUAUUCUUGGAAGCUUGUGAGUUGUUGGGCGGGAAGCCUGAAGAGAUUGUACUCAGUCUAAGAUGACUAAUUUAUAUGAGUAUUCUCGCUAUUUGCCUAUUCCAGUCACCAUUACUUGUAGUGUUUGGAGUGUGCUUGUGCCCUACUCUUGACAGAAGUUAAAAUGAGAUACUAUGUAUGAUACAAAAAUAAAGUCAUCCCAAUGAUUUUUAUACUGA